AGUGAACGCUGGCGGUAGGCCUAACACAUGCAAGUCGAACGGCAGCACAGUAAGAGCUUGCUCUUACGGGUGGCGAGUGGCGGACGGGUGAGGAAUACAUCGGAAUCUACUUUUUCGUGGGGGAUAACGUAGGGAAACUUACGCUAAUACCGCAUACGACCUACGGGUGAAAGCAGGGGAUCUUCGGACCUUGCGCGAUUGAAUGAGCCGAUGUCGGAUUAACUAGUUGGCGGGGUAAAGGCCCACCCAGGCGACGAUCCGUAGCUGGUCUGAGAGGAUGAUCAGCCACACUGGAACUGAGACACGGUCCAGACUCCUACGGGAGGCAGCAGUGGGGAAUAUUGGACAAUGGGCGCAAGCCUGAUCCAGCCAUACCGCGUGGGUGAAGAAGGCCUUCGGGUUGUAAAGCCCUUUUGUUGGGAAAGAAAAGCAGCAGGUUAAUACCCCGCUGUUCUGACGGUACCCAAAGAAUAAGCACCGGCUAACUUCGUG
rnacentral:rRNA from 1 species